UUGGCUAUACAAUGCUUGUCCUCAGCUUGAUUAAUGUGUUCAAAGGCCUUGACAUACUAGAUCCCGCGACUAAGUGGAGAUCUGCAUAUAUUGGUAUACUAGUGGUGUUAGGAGCAAUUGCGGUAUUGUUGGAAGUGAUUACCUGGAUUGUUGUGUUAAAGAGGAAAUCUAACAAAUCCACCAAACCAUAUGAUGGUUGAUUUUUACAUUGGCCAUGGGAGACGCCCUAUUGUUGGAAGUGAUUACCUGGAUUGUUGUGUUAAAGAGGAAAUCUAACAAAUCCACCAAACCAUAUGAUGGUUGAUUUUUACAUUGGCCAUGGAAGACUAUAACCCUGCGUUCAUGAUCGUUUGCUAUUGUUAUCACUGCCCAUAUCAGUUAUAUAUAUAUAUAUAUAUAUAUAUAUAUAUA
rnacentral:lncRNA from 1 species